rnacentral:rRNA from 1 species
AAUAGAUACCCUGGUAGUCCACGCCGUAAACGAUGAGUGCUAAGUGUUAGAGGGUUUCCGCCCUUUAGUGCUGCAGCUAACGCAUUAAGCACUCCGCCUGGGGAGUACGGCCGCAAGGCUGAAACUCAAAGGAAUUGACGGGGGCCCGCACAAGCGGUGGAGCAUGUGGUUUAAUUCGAAGCAACGCGAAGAACCUUACCAGGUCUUGACAUCCUCUGACCUCCCUGGAGACAGGGCCUUCCCCUUCGGGGGACAGAGUGACAGGUGGUGCAUGGUUGUCGUCAGCUCGUGUCGUGAGAUGUUGGGUUAAGUCCCGCAACGAGCGCAACCCUUGAUCUUAGUUGCCGUCAUUUAGUUGGGCACUCUAAGGUGACUGCCGGUGACAAACCGGAGGAAGGUGGGGAUGACGUCAAAUCAUCAUGCCCCUUAUGACCUGGGCUACACACGUGCUACAAUGGACGGUACAAACGGUUGCCAACCCGCGAGGGGAGCUAAUCCGAUAAAACCGUUCUCAGUUCGGAUUGUAGGCUGCAACUCGCCUAC